rnacentral:rRNA from 1 species
CACACCGCCCGUCACACCAUGGGAGUGGGGUUCACCAGAAGCCGGUUGCCUAACCGCAAGGAGGGCGCUGACCACGGUGAGCUUCAUGACUGGGUG